rnacentral:rRNA from 1 species
GACGAACGCUGGCGGCGUGCUUAACACAUGCAAGUCGAGCGAUGAAGCUUCCUUCGGGAAGUGGAUUAGCGGCGGACGGGUGAGUAACACGUGGGCAACCUGCCUCAAAGAGGGGAAUAGCCCUCCGAAAGGAGGAUUAAUACCGCAUAAAGUUAGAGUUUCGCAUGAAACUUUAACCAAAGGAGUAAUCCGCUUUGAGAUGGGCCCGCGUCCCAUUAGCUAGUUGGUAGGGUAAUGGCUUACCAAGGCAACGAUGGGUAGCCGACCUGAGAGGGUGAUCGGCCACAUUGGAACUGAGACACGGUCCAGACUCCUACGGGAGGCAGCAGUGGGGAAUAUUGCGCAAUGGGGGAAACCCUGACGCAGCAACGCCGCGUGGGUGAUGAAGGUCUUCGGAUCGUAAAACCCUGUUUUCUGGGACGAUAAUGACGGUACCAGAUGAGGAAGCCACGGCUAACUACGUGCCAGCAGCCGCGGUAAUACGUAGGUGGCAAGCGUUGUCCGGAUUUACUGGGCGUAAAGGGUGCGUAGGCGGAUGCUUAAGUGAGAUGUGAAAUACCUAGGCUUAACUUAGGGGCUGCAUUUCAAACUGGGCAUCUAGAGUACAGGAGAGGGAAACGGAAUUCCUAGUGUAGCGGUGAAAUGCGUAGAGAUUAGGAAGAACACCAGUGGCGAAGGCGGUUUCCUGGACUGUAACUGACGCUGAGGCACGAAAGCGUGGGUAGCAAACAGGAUUAGAUACCCUGGUAGUCCACGCCGUAAACGAUGAAUACUAGGUGUAGGAGGGUCCAACCUUCUGUGCCGCAGUUAACACAUUAAGUAUUCCGCCUGGGGAGUACGGUCGCAAGACUAA